rnacentral:tRNA from 6 species
GCCUCCUUAGCUCAACUGGUAGAGCAACUGAUUUGUAAUCAGUAGGUUGCUGGUUCGAUUCCGGCAGGGGGCA